rnacentral:rRNA from 1 species
UACGUAGGGUCCGAGCGUUGUCCGGAAUUAUUGGGCGUAAAGGGCUCGUAGGCGGUUUGUCGCGUCGGGAGUGAAAACCAGGUGCUUAACACCUGGCUUGCUUUCGAUACGGGCAGACUAGAGGUAUUCAGGGGAGAACGGAAUUCCUGGUGUAGCGGUGAAAUGCGUAGAUAUCUGGAGGAAUACCGGUGGCGAAGGCGGCAUCCUGGACCGGCAUUGACGCUGAUGAGCGAAAGCUAGGGGAGCAAACGGG